CGGAGACAACGCUCGCAACACUUCCGUGUCACAUGCUCGACACGUGAUCGAACAGAUCGGCUCCAGCAUAACAUCCCUAUCCGUAGCACCAGUCCAAAGUGGCAACAAGCUCUUACGUUGGUUUAUGAUUGGUUCAAGAAAGUUUGGAUGGAAUAAAAACCACUACAGACCAUCAGUUAAGAGUGUUUUUUGACUGGGACGCUACAUCUAUGAAGAAGACUACUACUACUUCCGGUUAUCAAGAUCGAGGUGGAGCACGAGACAAGCUAUUUCCGCAACAUUGUGUGAUGAGAAGUUGAAACUGCAGCUGGAGACUCCGACGUAUCUGGAUACUACUGUUGGUUUCUGUCCUCUGCUGACUCCAGCUCGCUGGGGAGAAACGACGGGGAGGAAGAAGGAUCGGACAAAGACUCGUUUAUCGAGGGGACCCUCGUGGGGAAGGAAGAUUUAGUGGAGGGACUUGACACCAAUGCCUCGUCCUUUCUGGACAAGGGUCCAUCCACUUCGUCAAGUAGCCCCAUUACCCCGGUAACUGCGUCACCACCGACCCAACCAGAGUUGACACCCACUGCACUCCGGCGUCAGCACACCGUUGAUAGAAGACGGUCGCAGCUGGAUGUGCGCACAGUCAUGGAGGAGAUGUGGGCUGCAGAUGAAAGGCAGCUAGAGAGAAUGGAGAACCUUUCUGAGCGUCAGUUUCAGGCACUGCGUCUGGACGCCCAGGAAGCGAGGCAACAGGAGAGAGAACUUACACGGCAGCAGAUGGAGCAGUCAGCUACCUUCAACCAGGCCUUCCUUGGUGUCCUUGGGCAACUUAUUCAAGUGCUGGGAGGCAGUCGUGACCCAAUGCCACAGCCCAAGCAAUAGUGAGAAAGCGACAGAAAACCUUUAGUUUAGUUUAGCUUCUAUUUAUGUUUUUAUUUUGUUUUUAAUAAAGGUGGUCUA